AUUCAGGCUGCAUUUGCAGCCAUUCACACUGCAAAUAAAAGUACU
rfam:Cariama cristata contig19339, whole genome shotgun sequence.